UACGAAGGGGGCUAGCGUUGCUCGGAAUUACUGGGCGUAAAGCGCACGUAGGCGGUCUUUUAAGUCGGGGGUGAAAUCCUGGAGCUCAACUCCAGAACUGCCUUUGAUACUGAAGAUCUUGAGUCCGGAAGAGGAGAGUGGAAUUCCUGGUGUAGCGGUGAAAUGCGCAGAUAUCAGGAAGAACACCCGUGGCUAAGGCGGCUCUCUAGUACGGUACUGACGCUGAGACGCGAAAGCGUGGGGAGCGAACAGG
rnacentral:rRNA from 1 species